rnacentral:rRNA from 1 species
AACGAACGCUGGCGGCAUGCCUAACACAUGCGAGUCGAACGAGAGCAUCGGGUAUAGUGGCGUAUGGGUGCGGAACGGGUGGGAACCUGCCAAUGGAUUGGGAAUAACUCAUCGGAAGGGGUGCUAAUACCGGAAAAUGUCCUAGGACCAAAGAUUUAUCGCGUUUGGAUGGGCCCGCGUUGGGUUAGCUAGUUGGUAGGGUAAAAUCCUCCCAAGGCGACGAUCCAUAGCUGGUAAGAGAGGCUGAGCAGCCACACUGGGACUGAGACACGGCCCAGACUCCUACGGGAGGCGGCAGUGGCGAAUAUUGCACAAUCGGCGAAAGCCUGAUCCAGCAAUGCCGCGUGAGUGAUGAAGGCCUGAGGGUUGUAAAGCUCUUUUACCCGGGAUGAUAAUGACAGUACCGGGAGAAUAAGCACCGGCUAACUCCGUG